GCUAUCUUUGUUUUUUUUGUUGUUGUUAAGCUUUUCCUUGAGCAUAGCUAACCCCACUAGACAGCACCCUUCUUUGUAGUUGAACUUCAGAGGAAAAAAAACUGACAGGCAAAGGGAUGCAUUAGGAAAAAUGGAUAGCCCUUCUUACCUGGUAGACAGGUGUAGUCGGGCUGUGAGCAGUCAAGGAGACUGCAGACUGGGGAUGCCAAGGCAAGAAAGCAGUUGGUAUCAGCAUUGAGGAAUGGGGCUGAGCACCAGGAUGAAUUUUUUGGUUGGUUGAUUGGUUCAACCAUUCAUUUAUUAAUUUAGCAAAUGUUUGGGACCGGGUAUGUGCCAGGCAUUGUGCAAGUUGCUGACUGUAGAGGGGUGAGCGAUGUAGAUGCGGUCUGUGUGCAGACUUGAACAGUUAUUAACAGUAGAGUUGCAUUUAAGUGUAUAUAUCUUAUUUAAACUGAAGCAAAAAUAUAAAAGAAUGAUUAUAAAAGAGUGUGAGGGAACUUUUGGGGAUGACAGAAAUGCUCUUGAUCUUCUUUUUUUUUUUUUUUUUAAUUUUCCCACUGUUCAGCAAGGGGGUCAGGUUAUCCUUACAUGUAUACAUUACAAUUACAUUUUUUCCCCCACCCUUUGUUCUGUUGCAACAUGAGUAUCUAGACAAAGUUCUCAAUGCUACUCAGCAGGAUCUCCUUGUAAAUCUAUUCUAAGUUGUGCCUGAUAAGCCCAAGCUCUGAUCCCUCCCACUCCCUCCCUCUCCCAUCAGGCAGCCACAAGUCUUUUCUCCAAGUCCAUGAUUUUCUUUUCUGAGGAGACGUUCAUUUGUGCUGGAUAUUAGAUUCCAGUUAUAAGUGAUAUCAUAUGGUAUUUGUCUUUGUCUUUCUGGCUCAUUUCACUCAGUAUGAGAGUCUCUAGCUCCAGUCAUGCUGCUGCAAAUGGCAUUAUGUCAUUCUAUUUUUAUGGCUGAGUAGUAUUCCAUUGUGUAUAUAUACCACAUCUUCCGAAUCCAAUCAUCUGUCGAUGGACAUUUGGGUUGUUUCCAUGUCCUGGCUAUUGUGAAUAGUGCUGCAAUGAACAUGCGGGUGCACGUGUCUCUUUUAAGUAGAGUUUUGUCCGGAUAGAUGCCCAAGAGUGGGAUUGCGGGGUCAUAUGGAAGUUCUAUGUAUAGAUUUCUAAGGUAUCUCCAAACUGUUCUCCAUAGUGGCUGUACCAGUUUACAUUCCCACCAGCAGUGCAGGAGGGUUCCCUUUUCUCCACAGCCCCUCCAGCACUUGUUACUGUGGAUUUAUUAAUGAUGGCCAUUCUGACUGGUGUGAGGUGGUAUCUCAUGGUAGUUUUGAUUUGCAAGAAAUGCUCUUGAUCUUGAUUUCGUUGGUUGAAACUCAUCAAACUGUAUACUUCAAAAAGAGUGAAUUUUGUCACAUGUAAAUUAUGCUUCAAUCAGACAUAAUAAUAGUAUCUAUUAACUUAAACAACAAAACACUGAAACCCAGACAGAGAUGCUUACUAUUGUUACUAUUGUCCUACAGUGUUUAGGAGGGUCUAAGGCAGAAAAUGAAGUAAUUGGCAUUAAUUUUAGACAAAUUAAGAUCUCUUAUUUUAAAAUUCCUUCUUAAUGGUGAAAUGACUGCAUGUCCCAGAAAUUCAAGAGAUUCUACUGGGGGGGGGGGGAUUUUGACUAUAAGAAAUAUAUAAACAUCAAUAGAUUGCUCUGAUCUUGCAAAAACCACAGAAAUGGAAAUUUUAAAAAUUUCUUCGUGUUAGAGACAAAAACCAUAAAUACUUAUGGCAAGAAAGACAUAGCUCCAACAUAAAACUAGGAAAUCUUAAUGAAGAAUAUAAAACAAAUGCAGAACUUGAGUCUAGUGCCAUAUCAUAUGUGUCAUCUGUUGCUGUGUAAAAAAAAAAGUAUCCCCAAACUGUGUAGUUUAAACAGUAAACAUUAUCUCACACCAUAUCUGUAGUUAGGCAUGUAGAAGUCCUUAGUUGGAUCGUCCUGAUUUGGGUCUCUCAUGAAGCUGCAGUCAGAAUGUUAGCAUAGGCUGCUGUCAUCUCAGGCUUGACGGGGCUGGAGGGUCUGCUUCCAUGAUGGCUCAUUCGUAUAGCUAUUGGCAGGAGGUCUCUAUUCCUCACCAGCUGGACCUCUCCAUAGGCCUUCUUGAGUGUGCUCACAGUAUGGUAGCUGGCUUUCCCCAGCGUGAGCGAUCCAAGUCAGAAAACAUGGCAGAAGCCAUGAUAACGCAUGACCAACCUCAGAAAUCAUGUGCCAUCAUUUCUGCCAUAACCUUACUCAGUGAGAGAGGAGAUCACACAAGGAUGUGAAUAUCAGGAGUCAGAGAUCCUGGGGCCAUUUUGGAAGCGGGCUGCUACUAUACCCUAGCUGCUGGAGAAGCUGAGAAAGCUUCUAGCUGGCAUUUACAAUUCUUUUGUAAGGAGUGGGUUCAUGAGAUGGGGGUAAGAACCAGAAGUGGGGCUUUUCCCCCAAAUGGGAAGGGGAUUCAGAUGAUAAAUAUUCACCGCAUGUUUGAAUAAACAAACAGAACAAUGCUGCAAGAGAGUCCAGAAGUAGAUUGUUUCAGUUUAAUAUAUGACGAAAAUGAUGUUUCAAUUUAGGGGAGAAAGGAUAGUCUUUCAUAAAUGAUCCUGACCUUGACCAAUUAUCCAUGUAAACCAAAAUAAAGUUGACUCUACUUUUUAAUUUUUUAUUAAAGUAUAGUUGAUUUACAGUGUUAUGUCAAUUUCUGCUGUAAAGCAAAGUGACUCAGUCAUACGUAGAUACACAUUAAUGUCCUUGGUCUUAGUUUAAUGUUUAAAAACCUACAGUAUUUCAGCUGAGACGUGAAGCCACUGUAAUUAUUUCCUCAUGUUAACCUUUUGGUAGUUUUUCAUCAAGCAAUUUAUGUGAUGUUUAAUAUUUCUAAACUAUGGACCUUGUUUUAUUUUUGUCUCUCGAACAGUGAAUGUGUUUUAAUGUAAUUGUAACUAUCAUUUACAUUAGUUCACAUUCUGUCUUUUCAACUAGUUUGAACUACAAAUUUGGAUUAUUUGUGAUCUCUCUAGGCCCUGCCCCAACUCAACACCACGUUACCCUACUUGAGAAUUGACUUUGGGUUUAUACAAUGGUUAUCCGCAUUUACUAAUAAAAUCUGGCAGUGCCGUGAGUCUCUUACAUGCCAUCAGAAAGGUCAAACCUGUUAUAAAUUAAAUUCACUUCUGGUCUUAUAGUUUACAUUUGUAUUUUCUAUUAAAAG
rnacentral:lncRNA from 1 species